rnacentral:rRNA from 1 species
AUUGAACGCUAGCGGGAUGCUUUACACAUGCAAGUCGAACGAGUGGCGGACGGGUGAGUAAUAUAUCGGAACGGGCCCAGUAGCGGGGGAUAACUACUCGAAAGAGUGGCUAAUACCGCAUACUCUUGGAGCGGCCGAUAGCGGAUUGGCUAGUUGGUGGGGGAAAGGCUCACCAAGGCAACGAUCCGUAGCUGGUUUGAAAGGACGACCAGCCACACUGGGCCUGAGCAACGGCCCAGACUCCUACGGGAGGCAGCAGUGGGGAAUUUUGGACAAUGGGGGAAACCCUGAUCCAGCCAUCCCGCGUGUAUGAGAAGGCCUUCGGGUUGUAAAGUACUUUUGGCAGAGAAGCGGUAUCUGCAGAAUAAGCACCGGCUAACUACGUGCCAGCAGCCGCGGUAAUAC